UUGUGUCCUUGGUAUAUAUACACCGAGAAUUUAGAGAAGGAACUCAAACUUCAUUUGCUUUUAGGAUUUAGCAUGAUGUUGAAAGUAGUUCUCCUCCUCGUCAACGUCGCCAUGACCAUGGCGUUCCCAAGGUUUCCAACAUCCCAAUAUAGUCCAUCCAUGUCUUCUGGUGGUGCAGCAAGCCCAUUCAACAUGCUCAACCAAUACAGUUUGUACAACCAGUACAAUCCAAGACAGAGUUUUUCCAGAGGUGGCCUCUUCAACAACAGAUUCAACCCCUUCAACCCAUACUCUACAUUCAUGUAUAGAGCCUUUGAUGUAGAUAUGCCCUUCGACAUGGGACUCUUUUAACUCAGAUUGUAUCUUCCUCUGGCCAAUGUGUCUUCGUGAAUGGAAAAACAACAACGAAGAUCGAAUGUUUUGACGUUGACUGUCGUUGGCGUUUCAUACUUAAUUGCAUUGAAACAAGAAAAAUGUGAAAUUCAAUUUAUAGAAAUAAAUCAUAAAAGCGUGCAAGUGA